CCAUAUGGUCGACCUGCAGGCGGCCGCGAAUUCACUAGUGAUUUACCGCGGCUGCUGGCACGGAGUUAGCCGGAGCUUAUUCUCCCGGUACUGUCAUUAUCAUCCCGGGUAAAAGAGCUUUACAACCCUAAGGCCUUCAUCACUCACGCGGCAUUGCUGGAUCAGGCUUUCGCCCAUUGUCCAAUAUUCCCCACUGCUGCCUCCCGUAGGAGUCUGGGCCGUGUCUCAGUCCCAGUGUGGCUGAUCAUCCUCUCAGACCAGCUAAGGAUCGUCGCCUUGGUGCGCCUUUACCACACCAACUAGCUAAUCCUACGCGGGCUCAUCCUCAGGCGAUAAAUCUUUGGACUUAACGUCAUCAUCCGGUAUUAGCCAUCGUUUCCAAUGGUUAUUCCGAACCUGAGGGCAGAUUCCCACGCGUUACGCACCCGUGCGCCACUAGACCCGAAGAUCUCGUUCGACUUGCAUGUGUUAGGCAUGCCGCCAGCGUUCGUUCUGAGCCAGGAUCAAACUCUAAUCGAAUUCCCGCGGCCGCC
rnacentral:rRNA from 1 species